rnacentral:rRNA from 1 species
CAGUAGCCGCGGGAAUACGAAGGGGGCUAGCGUUGUUCGGAAUUACUGGGCGUAAAGCGCACGUAGGCGGACAUUUAAGUCAGGGGUGAAAUCCCGGGGCUCAACCCCGGAACUGCCUUUGAUACUGGGUGUCUAGAGUAUGGAAGAGGUGAGUGGAAUUCCGAGUGUAGAGGUGAAAUUCGUAGAUAUUCGGAGGAACACCAGUGGCGAAGGCGGCUCACUGGUCCAUUACUGACGCUGAGGUGCGAAAGCGUGGGGAGCAAACAGGAUUAGAGACCCCGGUAGUCCCUGUCUCUUAUAA